GACGAACGCUGGCGGCGUGCCUAAUACAUGCAAGUAGAACGCUGAAGAGAGGAGCUUGCUCUUCUUGGAUGAGUUGCGAACGGGUGAGUAACGCGUAGGUAACCUGCCUUGUAGCGGGGGAUAACUAUUGGAAACGAUAGCUAAUACCGCAUAACAAUGGAUGACACAUGUCAUUUAUUUGAAAGGGGCAAUUGCUCCACUACAAGAUGGACCUGCGUUGUAUUAGCUAGUAGGUGAGGUAAUGGCUCACCUAGGCGACGAUACAUAGCCGACCUGAGAGGGUGAACGACCACACUGGGAAUGAGACACGGCCCAGACUCCUAGGAGAGGCAGCAGUAGGGAAUCUUCGGCAAUGGGGGCAACCCUGACCGAGCAACGCCGCGUGAGUGAAGAAGGUUUUCGGAUCGUAAAGCUCUGUUGUAAGUCAAGAACGGGUGUGAGAGUGGAAAGUUCACGCUGUGACGGUAGCUUACCAGAAAGGGACGGCUAACUACGUG
rnacentral:rRNA from 1 species